GAUGAACGCUGGCGGCGUGCCUAAUACAUGCAAGUCGAGCGAACAGACGAGGAGCUUGCUCCUCUGACGUUAGCGGCGGACGGGUGAGUAACACGUGGAUAACCUACCUAUAAGACUGGGAUAACUUCGGGAAACCGGAGCUAAUACCGGAUAAUAUAUUGAACCGCAUGGUUCAAUAGUGAAAGACGGUUUUGCUGUCACUUAUAGAUAGAUCCGCGCCGCAUUAGCUAGUUGGUAAGGUAACGGCUUACCAAGGCAACGAUGCGUAGCCGACCUGAGAGGGUGAUCGGCCACACUGGAACUGAGACACGGUCCAGACUCCUACGGGAGGCAGCAGUAGGGAAUCUUCCGAAAUGGGCGAAAGCCUGACGGAGCAACGCCGCGUGAGUGAUGAAGGUCUUCGGAUCGUAAAACUCUGUUAUUAGGGAAGAACAAAUGUGUAAGUAACUAUGCACGUCUUGACGGUACCUAAUCAGAAAGCCACGGCUAACUACGUG
rnacentral:rRNA from 1 species